rnacentral:rRNA from 1 species
AGAGUUUGAUCCUGGCUCAGAGCGAACGCUGGCGGCAGGCCUAACACAUGCAAGUCGAACGCACCUUCGGGUGAGUGGCGGACGGGUGAGUAACACGUGGGAACGUACCUUUAGGUUCGGAACAACUCAGGGAAACUUGAGCUAAUACCGGAUAAGCCCUUCGGGGGAAAGAUUUAUCGCCUUUAGAGCGGCCCGCGUUAGAUUAGCUAGUUGGUGGGGUAAAGGCCCACCAAGGCUACGAUCUAUAGCUGGUCUGAGAGGAUGAUCAGCCACAUUGGGACUGAGACACGGCCCAAACUCCUACGGGAGGCAGCAGUGGGGAAUCUUGCGCAAUGGGCGAAAGCCUGACGCAGCCAUGCCGCGUGAAUGAUGAAGGUCUUAGGAUUGUAAAAUUCUUUCAGCAGGGACGAUAAUGACGGUACCUGCAGAAGAAGCCCCGGCUAACUUCGUGCCAGCAGCCGCGGUAAUAC